AGCGAACGCCGGCGGCGUGCUUAACACAUGCAAGUCGAGCGAAGGUGUUUCAAGGGUAACCUUGAGAUACACUUAGCGGCGGACGGGUGAGUAAUACGUGGAUAACUUACCUCUAGGCCUGGGAUAACCCCGGGAAACUGGGGCUAAUACCUGAUAAGACCACAUUGUCUACGGACAAAGGGGUAAAAGGUGGCUGUGCAAACAGCUAUCGCCAAAAGAUAGGUUCACGUCCCAUCAGGCAGUUGGGAGGUAAUGGCUCACCAAACCAAAGACGGGUAGCCGGCCUUGGCGGGUGAACGGCCACACGGGGACUGAGACACGGCCCCGACUCCUACGGGAGGCAGCAGUGGGGAAUAUUGGGCAAUGGGCGCAAGCCUGACCCAGCGACGUCGCGUUGGGG
rnacentral:rRNA from 1 species